rnacentral:rRNA from 1 species
UUAGACGUAUCUUAGGAUCAAGGACGAAGGCAGGAGUAUCGAAAGUGAUUAGACACCGCUUAGUUCCUGCAGUAAACUAUGCCGACA